rnacentral:lncRNA from 1 species
GCCAGAUUUGAGGAACCCAGAGGUAGGAUGAACAAAGAUUCUAGUGAGAAAGAGAUGUUAGAAUGAAUCCAUUCUGCUCACUCUAAAGAGUAAAAAACUAAGGGAGGUGGAGUCAAGAUGGCAGCAUGGAAGGAGCAGAAGUUCAGACCUCUGAAUACCCUUACUUACUGAUCACAAACCAAAUGCUCCAAGGGGACUGAAAAAUCAACCCUAAUAACAAGACAGAGCCAAGGAACCCUCCUGCUGGACUCAAUUCAAAAGAGCUCAUCCACUAUAAAUCAUUUAAAUUUGCGAAGCCGAGUGGCAAAGUAAUAAGGCUCGACUUUCUGCUCCAGCACCGUCUUGGCGUCUCAUCUCAGAUAUCACUUAACCCCGGUGAAUCUCAAAAGUCCAGCUCUGACAAAGGACCUUUUCACUACCUGUCCUCUUGGAUCUUGUGAGGAAGGUACGUUGUCUACAUUCCAAAGUCCUCUACAGGUGAAGGGAGGAGGAAGAAAAAGUAAAUGCUUAUUAGUUGAAAAAGAAAAAAAGAAAAGGAAACUUGUAAGUGAUACAAAGGACUGUGGAAAGACAAGUUUCAGUAUAAGCAACCUUCCACUAACAACAAUUCCAUCACCCGAAUGUUUGUGACCAGAAAUUGAGAUGGUAUGAUCAUGUCUCAAGAACGAAGCAUCAGAUGGACAAUCCUACAGCUCCAUGAGUGUCUUCAAGAUCCUUCAAGGUCCUUCAGAAAGGACCACAGGAAGUCCACUAGUGUAUUGAAUAGAUCCUUUAUAAAGUAGCAACAGAAAGACUGGUAGAGCACUACAAAGGAUGAGAAAGCAUGGAAUGUUUUAAGCUGUAGUAAGUUGGGGGAGAGAGGAAGUAGAGUAUGGGAAACGAAUGGAAUAGUAAAUACAUCCAGAAGCAAAGUUUACUGUCUCUGUAUUUUUUCUAUUUUCUUAAUUUUUUUUCUCUAUGGAAAACCCAUUUCUGAAUUCCUUCCCAUGACCCUUGACUUAAAUCUGCAUAUCACAUGUUGCUAGUUGCUUAGCUAAUUU